rnacentral:rRNA from 1 species
UACGUAGGUCCCGAGCGUUGCCCGGAUUUAUUGGGCGUAAAGCGAGCGCAGGUGGUUUAUUAAGUCUGGUGUAAAAGGCAGUGGCUCAACCAUUGUAUGCAUUGGAAACUGGUAGACUUGAGUGCAGGAGAGGAGAGUGGAAUUCCAUGUGUAGCAGUGAAAUGCGUAGAUAUAUGGAGGAACACCAGUGGCGAAGGCGAUUCUCUGGACUGUAACUGACGCUGAGGCUCGAAAGCGUGGGGAGCAAACAGG